CAUUACGUGAAACCUCGACAAAGGCCUUGGGAAGGCUUUUGCUACAUCAACUUGCAUUGAGCCUUCCAACACAGCAAGAGUGGUUAUCGAUAUCCUUUCAUCGAUAGUCUCAGCUUUGCAUGAUGACUCGAGUGAGGUCCGAAGAAGAGCUCUCUCUUCACUUAAAGCUUUUGCAAAAAAUAACCCGGCAGCAACCAUUGCCAAUGUCAGUGUUAUAGGGCGCUCCGCUGCUGAAUGUUUGAAAGAUGGAAGCACACCAGUGAGACUUGCUGCCGAAAGAUGUGCUAUGCACGUGUUCCAGUUAACAAAGGGCGCAGAAAAUGUUCAAGCAGCUCAAAAAUAUAUCACAGGAUUGGAUGCCCGACGGUUAUCCAAGUUGCCUGAACAAAGCGAUGACAGCGACGAUAGUGAAGAUGAUGAUGGGCGUGGGUAGGAGGAAACUUGUGUUCUCUCCACUUCGUAGAAGAGGUUCAUUGGUUUUUCCCUAUACGCAUUUCUGCAAAAGCAUUAUCCCGUGAGUUGCGGAUGAUACUUGAUCUGGAUUCAUUGGCAUGAGACUAGCAACAGUUACACCGAUGAGAUAGAUUAUACCUUGUUUUGGUUUAUCAAAUAUUUGUUUUUUUGCUUGCAAAUUAUGUACUGGUUUUGUAAUGUCGGAAAUGGUUUCUCUUCA